rnacentral:lncRNA from 1 species
GUCAGCCUCCUGUCUUGGCAGAUUGGCCCAUUCGGAGUCUGAGGAGCAGCCUCAUUCUCUGUCCAGUGUCAUGUCCAGCCUGGUGUUUGCUGAGUCCUCAACACUGGUUCAUUAUCUUCACUCUCAGACACACGCGUUCUUCCUCCUGGGAUCCCUGUUAAACGGGUUCUGGGGAGGACGAGAAUAUCUUGAAUUUCCAGGCAACCAACAGCCCAUGGGCCUAUGUCCCCUCCUAAACUAAUCCAUCUCCAAAACCCAGGCCGUGUGUGAACCUUUGCAGGUGCCUGUGGUUGCUGUUGACUCACUGCUCUCUGUCCUCCUCCACCUGCAGGUGAAAUGCAAGAACUGCGGGGCCUUUGGGCACUCAGCCAGGAGCAAGACCUGCCCCAUUAAGAGGUGCAGUGGGGCCCUUCCUCUGCAGCCCCUGGGCUCACACAAGGAGAAGGAGAACCUGAAACCAGCAAAGGCCCAGCUACCCCAGGCUCCAGGGCCCUUUAUGAGGAAUGACAGAGAAAAGGAGCGAAAUCCAAGUCCCCAGCAGCAGCAGAGCAAAGCUCCGACGCAGACAUUUCCCAGAACUGCCCAAGAGAAGACGCAGGAAGCCUGGAAGGAGCCAGCAGAAGACUGUUUGUUCCUGAGGCAUCCUACCAUGCCACUGCCUGUCCACACCACCAAGAAGAGAUCUGUCCUGGGCCCUGUGUCCACAGCUCCCCCGUCUGUCAACAAACCCGAGAUGAGAUUACUCUGCCCUUCGGGUCACAAUGAUCGACCUCAACUGAGCACCUGUGGACCCACCAACGGACAUGGCGGGGACGUUACUGCCUCCCUGCUCCCUGUUCUGAAGAGCUCCCACCAGACCCCCACUCUCAGUGCCAGGCUGCCAGCCAACAGGCCCGACGUGUCCUCCCACGGUGCUCUCCAGCCUGCCAUGCAGGCAUUUGCCCCGGGCCCUGCCCUUAAAUCCCAGGCAGAAAUCAAACAUCCCCAUGCAGAUGCAAAGCCCAGACCACAGCAAGUCAGACAAAAGUGUGGCCAGGACUCCAGAACCCAGGCACCAGGCAAGCAGCCUGCCCCCGUCCCCACCCAGACUUUCCAGAACCCCGCAAAGAAAGCAAGACUCAGCUCCUUCCCGACCCCCGCCCUGGGAACUCAGCCUCCCUGCACUGCAACUGGACUUGGAUCCAAACAGGCCCCCAAGGCGACUGCAGAGACAGCAGCCACCAAGACCGCAACCCUGCAGCCCACAUCCUGUCCUCCUGAAAACUCUGCUUCCGCUCAGAGCCCUCACUUCUCAAGGGAGCCUGAGGGGCGGGGUCCCCAGGUCUCAAUGAGUGUCCUCUAUGAGGACCUUCUGAUCUCUUCCUCCUCUGAGGACAGUGACAGUGACUGAGGCCCCCAAGGCAAGAAGACCCAGCUUCAAGCCCAUGUGACUUGGAAGUGGCUGAAAGGCUGAGAAAGGGAGAGGCAGGAAGUAGCCCUGUGUGGGGUCAGCCCUUCCCUGGCAGCGGUGCCUGUUCAAACGUGGACUCCAGAUACUAUCGGGGAUCAACGAACCCUGCCUAUUUACACUAUGUAAAUUUAACCUGUAUUAAAAUGGGGCUUAUGAAAGUGUCCUAUAGAUUUCUUUUUCAA